ensembl:piRNA 21ur-11322 ncRNA
UUUUAUUAUCAGUUGUGAUAU